rnacentral:lncRNA from 1 species
GAAGGAUUCUAACAGUCUAGCAAACAUUGAGAUGACUAAGAACUAACAACCAGAGUCCUGUUACUGCAGUGAGGUUAAGGCUAGUUCUGAGCUCCACGUUUCCUGGUGCUGGAAUCCUCCCUUACCUAGCUAGUGUCACUACUGGAAGAGAGAUGCUUCAUUCCUAUUCCUCUACCCACCCAACAGAUACUGUGAGGUCUUACCUUGGUGAUUCCAGAAUUCUAAAAUAAAUGGAAAGAGCCUCAACUAUCAAACUGACAAUGCAAUAGUUUUCUGAAAUGCUGAAAGAAAAGAAAGGCUUGGAUCAUGAAGAACUCAAAAGUAGGACUGAAAUUUUUUCUCCAAAUACAGCCACUGGGCAGCUAUUUGAAGACAUAAUUGGAUUUGAGUCUCAUCCAAAGAGUCAGAAAGACUCUUACGGGAAACAGCAGGAGUGUCACGUGAAUACAAGCUUACAAAUGACAACAGCAUUACAGUGGACUCUGGAAUUUUGCCGAGCACUAAGUUGUAUCUGCUGGUUUUUCCUGGCAUGA